GAUGAACGCUGGCGGCAGGCCUAACACAUGCAAGUCGAGCGAGCGGCGGACGGGUGAGUAAUGUCUGGGAAACUGCCUGAUGGAGGGGGCUAACUACUGGAAACGGUAGCUAAUACCGCACCCCAUCAGAUAUGCACAGAUGGGAUUAGCUAUUGGGUGGGGUAACGGCUCACCUAGGCGAAGAUCUCUAGCUGGUCUGAGAGGAUGACCAGGCACACUGGAACUGAGACGCGGUCCAGACUCCUACGGUAGGCAGCAGUGGAGAAUAUAACACAAGGGGCGGGAGCCUGAUGCUGCCAUGCCGCGUAGCUGGAGAAGGCCUUCGGGUUGUAGUGCACUUUCAGCGUGGUGGAGGUACCAGCAGAAGAAGCACCGGCUAACUCCGUGCCAGCAGCCGCGGUAAUUC
rnacentral:rRNA from 1 species